AGUCUGACUUUUUGCCGAAGUUCCAACAAAAGCCUGAAGAGGAGUCCCAUUGGCUUGGCCCAGGUCAUGUGCCCAUCUCUGAACCAAUCAUGGAGACCAGGGGAAUGGGAGGUUCUCAUUGGUGGCACCUGGAUCAUGUGACUGCCCUGCGGCAGGAGGCGGGGCCAGUUCAACUGGAAACACGUGACCUGAGCUUGGGGCAUGGAGGCGCCUCAGGGAAAGAUCAGGGCUUGGAGGCUGAACCGGGAGAGGAUGGAUCUCAGGCGUGACAAGCACCUCCACCUAAUAGCAGUCAUGGGGCUUUUGUGAAGAGGCAGAAUUCCAGGAUGACAACUGAGGUGCAGAGAGUUUGACCCACCCAGCCAACAGUAGCGGACUGGGAACUGGAGCCCGGGAAUCCUGGCUGCCGACUCUGUGAGCAGCGUGCUGUGCCACCUGUCUUCGUCAAUGGCCCAUUUCCCCAAAAAAUAUCCUGGGAGAGCAGAGACGGUGCCCUUCUAUGGUCCAUCAGAGGCCCCAGGUCACCUGCCAGCAAUGCCAAGCUGAGGAUGGAGCUGGGGAAGCUGUUGAAACAAACGUGCAUAAUUAGGACUAUUGUCUCCUGCUAUGGUCUGAAGAUUCUUAUGUGGAAACCUAAUCCCUACCUUGGGGGUAGCAAGAGGUGGGGCCUUUGGGAGGUGAGAGGUCAUGAGGGCCCUACUGUCAUGAUUGGGAUUAGUGCCCUCUUAAAGGAGGCCCAAGGGAGCUUGUUCACCCCUUCCACCAACCGAAGAUGCUGCAAGAAGGGGCCACCUGUGAUGCAGAGGGUGGGCCCUCAUGGAAUCUGCUGGCACGUUGACCUUGGACUGUCCAGCCUCCAGAACUAUGAGGAAUACAUUUCUGUUGCUUAUAAACAACCCACUAAGGCAUUUUGUUGUGGCAUCCUGAAUAGACUAACAUAUCUCCUAAGGAGAGUUCUUCCUUGAAA